ACAGAUUCUUGAUAAGUGAAGUAUCAAGCUUACUUUCUGACAAAACACUUAAUAACAUAAAACUGCAGGGAGAACAUCAUGCAGAUGAACACCUGAGUGCUGAAAAAGUCCUGAAGUUUUGUUUCAAUUGUUGCUGUCAUGACGUCAAUGAAAAGCUUAACUUUUCUGAUCAUCUGUUUGUCUAUUUUGAUCUCACUGUGUCCUCUAAAUUCAGCAGCCAACUCUGCCAGCACCAGUUUGUGGGGAAAGAAGUUGGAGUUUAAAGGGCCUCCAUGUUUGUGGCAGCUACACCCGGAAGUGAGCAUACCAGCUCUGACGGA